rnacentral:rRNA from 1 species
AAACCAACAGGGAUUGCCUCAGUAACGGCGAGUGAAGCGGCAAAAGCUCAAAUUUGAAAUCCAGUACCUUUGGUGCUCGAGUUGUAAUUUGAAGAUAUUUCUUUGGAGUUGGCCCUUGUCUAUGUUCCUUGGAACAGGACGUCAUAGAGGGUGAGAAUCCCGUCUGAUGGGGUGUCCAACUCUUUGUAAAGUUUUAUCGAAGAGUCGAGUUGUUUGGGAAUGCAGCUCUAAGUGGGUGGUAAAUUCCAUCUAAAGCUAAAUAUUGGCGAGAGACCGAUAGCGAACAAGUACAGUGAUGGAAAGAUGAAAAGAACUUUGAAAAGAGAGUGAAAAAGUACGUGAAAUUGUUGAAAGGGAAGGAUAUUAGAUCAGACUUGGUGUUUUACGAUUAUCUUCCCUUCUUGGGUUGUGCACUCGUGCUACACUGGGCCAGCAUCGAUUCGGACGGUAAGAUAAUGACUUAGGAACGUGGCACUCCUUCGGGAGUGUGUUAUAGCCUGUGUUGAUGUUGCCUGUCUGGAUCGAGGACUGCGUCUUUUGACUAGGAUGUUGGCGUAAUGAUCUAAUAUCGC